CGCCUCUUGAAUUAAUAUAAGAGGUCCAGCCUGCCCAGUGACCCUGUUCAACGGCCGCGGUAUCCUAACCGUGCGAAGGUAGCGUAAUCACUUGUUCUUUAAAUGAGGACUAGUAUGAACGGCAUCACGAAGGUUAUACUGUCUCCUUUUUCUAAUCAGUGAACCUAAUCUCCCCGUGAAGAAGCGGGAAUAUAACUAUAAGACGAGAAGACCCUAUGGAGCUUAAAACAACACAGCACUUGCUAAAAAACUGAGCAUUCCCGAAUUUUUACUUUCUAGGCAACAUGACUGUAAGUUUUUGGUUGGGGUGACCACGGAGUACAAUAUAACCUCCAUGUUGAAAGAAUUUUUUUCUAAGCCGAAAAUUACACUUUUAAGCAUCAAUAAGUUGACAUCUAUUGACCCAAUAUAUUUGAACAACGAACCAAGUUACCCUAGGGAUAACAGCGCAAUCCACUUCAAGAGCUCCUAUCGACAAGUGGGUUUACGACCUCGAUGUUGGAUCAGGGUUUCCCAGUGGUGCAGCCGCUACUAAAGGUUCGUUUGUUCAACGAUUAAAACCCU
rnacentral:rRNA from 1 species